GAUUGAACGCUGGCGGUAUGCUUAACACAUGCAAGUCGAACGGAAACGAUACUAGCUUGCUAGUAGGCGUCGAGUGGCGGACGGGUGAGUAACGCGUAGGAAUCUGCCUGAUAGUGGGGGAUAGCCCGAAGAAAUUCGGAUUAAUACCGCAUAAUCUAUUCGUAGUAAAGUGGGGGACUUUCGAGCCUCACGCUAUCAGAUGAGCCUGCGUAAGAUUAGCUUGUUGGUAGGGUAAAAGCCUACCAAGGCGACGAUCUUUAGCUGGUCUGAGAGGAUGAUCAGCCACAUCGGGACUGAGACACGGCCCGAACUCCUACGGGAGGCAGCAGUGGGGAAUAUUGGACAAUGGGGGCAACCCUGAUCCAGCAAUACCGCGUGUGUGAAGAAGGCCUGAGGGUUGUAAAGCACUUUCAAUUGUGAAGAAAAGUUAGCGGUUAAUAACCGUUAGCCUUGACGUUAACUUUAGAAGAAGCACCGGCUAACUCCGUGCCAGCAGCCGCGGUAAUACGGAGGGUGCAAGCGUUAAUCGGAAUUACUGGGCGUAAAGCGUGCGUAGGCGGUUUAUUAAGUCAGAUGUGAAAGCCCCGGACUUAACCUGGGAACUGCAUUUGAAACUGGUCAACUAGAGUAUGGUAGAGGGAAGUGGAAUUUCUGGUGUAGCGGUGAAAUGCGUAGAUAUCAGAAGGAACAUCAAUGGCGAAGGCAGCUUUCUGGACCAAUACUGACGCUGAGGUACGAAAGCGUGGGUAGCAAACAGGAUUAGAUACCCUGGUAGUCCACGCCGUAAACGAUGAUAACUAGCCGUUGGGGGGAUUUACCCUUUAGUGGCGAAGCUAACGCGUUAAGUUAUCCGCCUGGGGAGUACGGCCGCAAGGUUAAAACUCAAAGGAAUUGACGGGGACCCGCACAAGCGGUGGAGCAUGUGGUUUAAUUCGAUGCAACGCGAAGAACCUUACCUGGUCUUGACAUCCUGCGAACUUUCUAGAAAUAGAUUGGUGCCUUCGGGAACGCAGUGACAGGUGCUGCAUGGCUGUCGUCAGCUCGUGUCGUGAGAUGUUGGGUUAAGUCCCGUAACGAGCGCAACCCCUAUCCUUAUUUGCCAGCACAUCAUGGUGGGAACUAUAAGGAGACUGCCGGUGAUAAACCGGAGGAAGGCGGGGACGACGUCAAGUCAUCAUGGCCCUUACGACCAGGGCUACACACGUGCUACAAUGGGAAGGACAAAGAGCCGCGAAGCCGCGAGGUGUAGCUAAUCUCAUAAACCUUUUCGUAGUCCGGAUUGGAGUCUGCAACUCGACUCCAUGAAGUCGGAAUCGCUAGUAAUCGUAGAUCAGAAUGCUACGGUGAAUACGUUCCCGGGUCUUGUACACACCGCCCGUCAA
rnacentral:rRNA from 1 species